rnacentral:lncRNA from 1 species
CUGGAGCCGUGCAGCCUGAGAGGAGGAGCGGCACGCUUGGGGCUGCGGCGCAGGGGACUCCCCCCAACGCUCCGGCGACACCGCCCCGGGGCGGGGACUAACUCGACAGUCUGGAGUCCGACACCGCCCCAGUCCUGACGCCUGGGUCUUCCUCCUAAGCAGGCUCCUCCUGCAGCGCAGGAAAGGAGGCCAGGUGGAGGAAGGGGUGCUUUGAAAAGUCACAGAUAAUGCGCAGCCCACCGUGUGAGAGAGCGCGGCCGGGCGCCCGACUCUUCCCGGGCUCCCCACCCCCACCCCCACCCCCGGGCCCAGGGAUCCCCCUCCUCCCUUCCCGGUCCUCGUGUCCCCGGGCGCCUGGGGAGAUCGCCACGUCUUUCCUGCCUGCCCAGCCUUCUGCCAGUUAAGCGCUCCUUCGUUCCACUUUGCCAAUAAUAAUUAUAUCAACGACCCAACAUUGUGCCGUGUGCCGUGUGCCUGGCACUGUGCUGCAAUUUGACAGACGGUGCCUCAUCAGCCUCCGGACAGCCCCCUGAGCUACCAUGAGGUGAGCAGCUUCUCUACCACACUUUUUCCACUACAGUGCUUUGCCUGGCUACCAUCCAAUUGAUCACGGACUGAAACCAUGAGCCAAAACAGACCUCUUCUUCUUUAAGCUGAUUUUCUCAGCAUGUCCAGUUCCCAUGAGGUAAUCCACGCAGAGAAGGGAGGGCAACCUUCCAGACAACCCUCAGAAAGGACCUCUUCCUCACUCCACACUCAAAGGCUUCCAAACCUACUACCCAGAUGUUGUGUCCAAUUUUACCAGCCCUGCAGGAAGAAGCUAUGGAAUGGACCAGUGACCAGUUGAUCAACUAGCUCCGGCAUAUUAACAAGGCUUCUGGCAAUAAAUGAACUAGUUAUUUCCUUUUCCACCACUAAAUGAAGUGUUCAAGAGCAAAAAAGAAAUGUUUCCAAAUGACAGCUUGCUUGUGUUUCCCCUCCAUGUCUUGAAAUCUUUGCUGACCUCUGAGAGGCACUUUGUUUAGUAAUCUAUUUGGGGCAGGGUAGAUAAUACAAAAAUAAUUAUAGUAAAUUUUCUAGGGACCAUUUCCAAAGCCAAAGCCUGACAUCUUACUUCUAAAAGGUGUGGCUAAAGGGUAGUAGAUUAAAAACAAAAACAGCAAUAGCUCAGGCUUUAGGCUAGAAGAUUCUGGAUCCAUCUGUAUUAGCCCUGUGGCCCUGGACCAGUUGUUAUCCGCUCCUUUUAUUUAUUUAUUUGGUAUUGGGGAUUGAACUCAGGACCUUGUGCUUGUGAGGCAGGCAGCAGAAUCACUGAGCUACAUCCCCAGCCCUAUCUGCUCCUUUUAAAUGAAGCAACAGUACUCAGUAGGACCAGCAGUUGCUGAGGAUUAGAGGUAAUCUAAGCAGCCCCUGGCCCUGGGCUGAGUGUACUUUAGUAAAUGGUAACUAUUAUUGUGACAUUCAGUCUUUCAAUUAACCUGGUAUGUGGCCCACAUUGCUAGUUAGACACAGUAAGCUGACCCUUGCCAGCUUUAAGGAUGGGCAAAUAGAGGUGUAGGAAAGCAAAUAGCCUUUUGCCCAGUACUGCUUCAAUAAAUCACUGCUUGGUUCCUAUAGAAGUAAGAGUCUAGCCUUCAGAAACACCCCCUGAAAUUCUACUCUAAUUGUCUUUGUAUUAUCUACCCCGCAACAUGAUUUAUUAAUCCAGUGCAAGCACAAGAUUGCACAGUAUGCUCUUAAGCUUUUUGUUGUUAUCUGCUUAUGGUGGUACUGUGGAUUGAACUCAGGGCCUUCACACUGAGCUACAUCCUCAGACCUUCUUUUCUAAUUUUUAGUUUGAGACAGGGUCUUUCUAAGUCACUAAGUUGCCCAGGCUGGGCUCAAACUUUCGAUUCUCUUUUCCUCAGCCUCUCAGAGUGCUGGAAUGACAGGCAUGCUGCACCAUACCCAGCUGGCUUUUAAGCAUUUCUAAAGCUUCAUUAAUCUAUAAACAAAUUAACACGUUAUAGGGCAUGCAAGAGGACUGGCUGGUUCCUUGAAUCCGAACUUCAUAACUUCAUUUACAGGGUACGAGGUCCCCUUUAGGAAAGCAGUUUCAGGGACCACAGCAAAGCCUUACAUGUGUUUGCAUCCUUCUGUAUUAGAAGGUAAAGGACAAUGAUGCUCCUAGUGACAAGUAAAAUAAUAAAAAGAAUCAAUAUAAAUGUUAAUCAUGAGUUGGUGAAGAAAGCAUUUAUUUCUAAUUUUGGUUUCUCUAUAUUUUGAAUAUUAAGCUAUCAUUAAAAAUUGAUAAAUGAGACUUCAAAAUUUUAAAAAUCUCUCCCCAAAUACCGUUGUGAAAAUGAAGAGGUGAUCCACUCAGACAAUACUAUUCAUAACACAAACAUCUGACAAAGGACUUGUAUCCAGACUGCAUAAGUAAUUAUUGUAACAAUA